GUCAGGCAUCCUGGGAAGUUUCGUUUUCGUUCAGUGGGAGGACUUUCGCGGAUGGACCUGCCCUCCUCAUUCUUGGAUCUAAGCAGGUGGCCUGUGGACGUUUGUCACGGGAAGGCUCAGUGGCUGGUGGCAUGUUGCACCGUUGCUUCGGACGGAGGUCGCGUCCCCGCAGGGAUCUUUCCAGUGAACUUUGACCUCCCCAGACCCCGCCGCGUGGACUGUCCCUGUGUUGGUGCCAUGUGAGGGCCUCACUGCCUCCCCGGGCUUGUCCUCAUGGCCGGGGCUGCUGGUGCAGUGGGCGAACAGAACCGGCUCAGCCACCACAAGGACGAGGACGGGAAUGGGGCUCAGUCUCAGCACAUCGGGGAUGGGGGUGUGCCUGUGAGGCAAGGCCAGAAAGGUCUUGGUCUGACUCCUGGAUGAACCUCAAGGCUGGAGGAGAGGAGAGGGACAGGGCAAGAGAGGGGCAACCUCGGGGGAGGUCCCCUCCACGCGUUACAUUUGAGAAGCCUCUAGUCCUUGGUGGGGUUCAGAAUACAUGACCCCAUAUUGAUAACUCUGAAUUAAAGAUGCUGGAGAAACAGCCCACGAAGGAAGGGCACUCCGACCGCCUCCCUCACACCACCCUCCUGACCACGGAGACGAAUCUCCCCCCGCCAGAGGCACCCUCCCCACACAGGAGGCUGGUGGGAAAUCGAGGGAUGGAGGCUGUGUGAACAGACCUCUCCUCCUCCGGUUGUUUAGGACCCCAGCCCAAACCGCUGUCAGUUGUUCACAAAUUCCCCGUUCGUCUGUCUAAAAGGCAUGAAAGUCGCCUGCUUGGUCACUUGUUCGAGACUUCCGUCUUCGUGGGGCUCCCUCAC